rnacentral:rRNA from 1 species
AUUGAACGCUGGCGGCAGGCCUAACACAUGCAAGUUGAGCGGGAACUUCGGUUCUAGCGGCGGACGGGUGAGUAAUGCGUAGGAAGCUACCCGACAGAGGGGGAUACCAGUUGGAAGCGACUGUUAAUACCGCAUAAUGUCUACGGACCAAAGUGUGGGACCUUCGGGCCACAUGCUGUCGGAUGCGCCUACGUGGGAUUAGCUAGUUGGUGAGGUAAUGGCUCACCAAGGCGACGAUCCCUAGCUGGUUUGAGAGGAUGAUCAGCCACACUGGAACUGAGACACGGUCCAGACUCCUCCGGGAGGCAGCAGUGGGGAAUAUUGGACAAUGGGCGCAAGCCUGAUCCAGCCAUGCCGCGUGUGUGAAGAAGGCCUUCGGGUUGUAAAGCACUUUCAGUAGGGAGGAAGGGGUUGUCGUUAAUAGCUGCAACUUUUGACGUUACCUACAGAAGAAGCACCGGCUAACUCUGUGCCAGCCGCCGCAGUAACAC